rnacentral:ncRNA from 2 species
UACGAUCUUCGGGGUAGGGUGCAAGUCCCAACCGGCGGUAUAGUCCGCGACCCGCAGCGAUGCGGUGGAAUCGGUGACUUUCUUAAACAGAAAGAAUUCCGAUACCGACAGUAUAGUCUGGAUGAGAGAAGAUAGUG